rnacentral:rRNA from 1 species
CAGUCGCCGCGGUAAUACGUAGGGUGCGAGCGUUGUCCGGAAUUACUGGGCGUAAAGAGCUCGUAGGUGGUUUGUCGCGUCGUCUGUGAAAUUCCGGGGCUUAACUCCGGGCGUGCAGGCGAUACGGGCAUAACUUGAGUGCUGUAGGGGAGACUGGAAUUCCUGGUGUAGCGGUGAAAUGCGCAGAUAUCAGGAGGAACACCGAUGGCGAAGGCAGGUCUCUGGGCAGUUACUGACGCUGAGGAGCGAAAGCAUGGGUAGCGAACAGGAUUAGAUACCCCUGUAGUCCCUGUCUCUUAUU